rnacentral:rRNA from 1 species
AGUGAACGCUGGCGGUAGGCCUAACACAUGCAAGUCGAACGGCAGCACAGUAAGAGCUUGCUCUUACGGGUGGCGAGUGGCGGACGGGUGAGGAAUACAUCGGAAUCUACUUUUUCGUGGGGGAUAACGUAGGGAAACUUACGCUAAUACCGCAUACGACCUACGGGUGAAAGCAGGGGAUCUUCGGACCUUGCGCGAUUGAAUGAGCCGAUGUCGGAUUAGCUAGUUGGCGGGGUAAAGGCCCACCAAGGCGACGAUCCGUAGCUGGUCUGAGAGGAUGAUCAGCCACAAUGGAACUGAGACACGGGCCCGACUCCUAAGGGAGGCAGCAGUGGGGAAUAUUGGACAAUGGGCGGAAGCCUGAUCCAGCCAUACCGCGUGGGUGAAGAAGGCCUUCGGGUUGUAAAGCCCCUUUGUUGGGAAAGAAAAGCAGCAGGUUAAUACCCCGCUGUUCUGACGGUACCCAAAGAAUAAGCACCGGCUAACUUCGUG